rnacentral:lncRNA from 1 species
UUUUCUUUUUUUUUUUUUUUUUCAGUUGGUACUUAACUCCCUGGAGGUUCAGGAAAGUUGUCCAUGCAUCAAUAUUCAUUCCUGUUGCUGAGUAGUACUCCAUGUUAUAGUUGGGCCAGAGUUUAUUCACUCAUUUAUAGAAAUCUGGCUAAACUGCUAUGAAUAAAGCUGAUAUAAAUAUUCAUGUACAAGUUGCUUUUGUUUCUUUUCUUUACUUUUUUUGGUAACUAUAGGUCUUUAUUUUCAGAGUGAAUGCCUAAGAAUUCAAUUGCUGGGUUAUAUGGUAGUUACAUGUCUAGUUCCUAAAGAAACUGCCACCCCAAUUUCUAGAAUGACCAUAUCUUUUUAUAUUCCCAGCAACAACAUAUGAACGACCAAUUUUCUUGUAUUUUCACUGGUGUUUGAUUCUGUCAUUAAUUUCUAUUUUAGCUAUUUUGAUAGGUAUGUAGUAAUUUAAUUUGCAUUUCUUUAAUUGCUAAUGAUAUUGAGCAUCUUUUCAUGUAUUUCUUUACAAUGUGUAUAUAACCUAUAAAAUGUCUCUUCAUAUCUUUGGCUUAUAUUCUACUUUGAUUGUUUAUUUGUGUUUUACUGCUGAAUCUUGAGGUUUUUUUUACAUAUUUUAGGUACAAUAUUUAGAUAUCAUAUAGUCAGAUAUGUGGUUUGCAAGUAUUUCCUUUGGUUCUGAAUUUGUCUUUUCAUCCUCUUAAUAGGUAAUAUCAGGAAACAAAAGUUUUUAAUUUGAGUGAAGUCCAAUUUAUCAAAAUUUAUUUUUAUGGUUUAUCCUUUGGAUAUCAAAUCUGACAAAUUUUUUCUGAACCCUAGAUCCCAAAUAUUUUCACCUAUAUUUUAUUUUUCUAAAAGUUUUAGUUUUAUAUUUCACAUUUAAGUUCCCAAUCAUUUUUUUUUGUCCAAUAUGUGCACAAUUGCUCUAGCACCAUUGAAAAGUAAUCAUCCCUUCACUGCAUUGUUUGUGCAACUAUGUCAAAAACCAGUUGGAUAUGUCUGUAUGAAUUAUGUUCUGUUCUAUCAAUUUAUAUAUCUAUCCCUCUGCCAAUACCACAGCUUGAUUACUGUAGCUGAAUAUUAAAACUUGAGAUCAGUGAACUGAUUUUGCCAACUUAAUUAUUCUUUUUCAAAAUUGUUUUAGGCAUUCUGACUCUUGCUUUACCAUCUAAAUUUUAGAAUAAUAUUGCCUAUAUAUGUAUGUAAAUAUUUCUGAGAUCUUGAUAAGAAUUGCAUUAAACCUGUUUAUCAACAUGAGAGAAUCAAAAUCUUUACUAUGUUGAUCCAGUCAAGCCAUAAAAAUAGCAGGUCUCUCCAUUUUUGAGAUAUGCUUUUAUUUCUUUCAAAAUUUAAGUUCACAACAAAAUUGAGUGGAAGAUUUUCUUUAAAUCUACUGUCUUUACAUAUUCAUAUAGCCUCCUCUAUUAUCAGUGGUAUUCUAUCUCUAAUUUUAGUGUCCAUAUGUUCAAUGCUAGUACAUAAAAAUACAGUUGAUUUUGGUGUAUUUAUCAUGUGACUAUUUUGAACUUACCUUUUAGUUCUGGGAGUAUUUUGUAGAUUUCUUGGGAUUUUCUACCUAAGACGAUAACGCCAUCUUCAAAUGAAGAUAAUUAUACUUCAUCCUUUAUCUUCUUGCUAAUAAACAUAAGAUAGAUAUCAGAUACAGAGAUGGUUUUGACUUGGUCCAUGGGCUGCUUCUUGAAUUUUUAUUUAUUUUUUUUUUAAUUUUUAUUUAUUUAUGAUAGUCACAGAGAGAGAGAGAGAGGCAGAGACACAGGCAGAGGGAGAAGCAGGCUCCAUGCACCGGGAACCCGACGUGCGAUUCGAUCCCGGGUCUCCAGGAUCGCGCCCCGGGCCAAAGGCAGGCGCCAAACCGCUGCGCCACCCAGGGAUCCCUGCUUCUUGAAUUUUUAAACAGUGACUUAUCAUUCAGGGAAAGGAAUCCAAGAGAGAUAUGGAUAUGAGGCAACAGCAACUAGAGAAAUCAGUGAACAUCAAGGUGGUUUAAAAUAGAACUUUGGAGGCAAAGUCAUUGAGCUACCUUUUGAUUUUAUUGGGCCAUUCCUUUAUUUCAUACAUAUAUGUUAAUAUAUGCAAUGUGCUAAGUAUUGUGCUAAUACCUGGGGACAUAGAGAAAAGGACCCAUUUCCUGUUCUCCAUGAAAUUCCACUGUAUUUUUAAGUAUUUCAAUAGAAUAUGGCAAGUGCUAUAAUGAGUAAAGCAAAAAUAAUAGUGGAAGCUUUGACACCAUUAGGGCAAAUGGUGUAUUAAAGGAUUAAUAAGUACAAUAACCAAUGUAAUAAUACAAAAUAUAGCCAUCAAUUCUUGAGGAUUCUUGUUCACUACUUCUGAAAGAGGCAUUGAAAUGCAUAGAUUUUCGUAGUUUUAAUACAAGUGGUCUUCAAAAUGCACUUUGAAAAAUACUUCUGUAGAGUAGGUUGAUGAGUACUUGCUAAGGAACAUCUACUUUAAAAAAAAAAAAAAAGAGAGAGAGAGAGAGAGAAGAGAAGGAAGAUGCCAGAAAUCACAGUAAAUAAGUAGGCAAAGAUAUUGCUGGAAAACCACAGAAUGCAGUGUCACAAAACUAUUUUUAUUAUAACAGUUUAGGCUAGUAUAAAUCACUACAGGUGUGCUUUAAUCUUUUCAUGAAUGGAGCCAAUUAAUUCUAGUUUCAUUUUCUAUAAAGGGAUAAUGAAUUAUGUAAAAGUAAAAUAUGUAGCACAUUAUUGUAGACAUUGUAUCUUUGUCUCUGCCCCAUCUGACACCUCCUGCUUUUCUGCAUUCCACCUCACUGCCCUGAAAUACAUGCCUUUGCUUUGGUUGUUGUUGUAGAUGAACUUUUUCAAGUUGACAUGUGAGUAGCCAAAGGAUCCAGUGGGCAUCCAGGUAAUGGCCAAUAGAGUCAAACUCCCUGCUGGUGGUCAGAUGCAACAGUUCCCUUUAGCCUAAAGAUAUGGUAGGAAAGCUGUAUUCUAAGAUGUGUGGAACUUGAUAAUCAUAUCUUUUAUGCUACAAAAUUAUUUGCUUCUAAGGGUUUAUUUAUAUAAAUGAAUACUUAUGAGUAGGAUUUUAGUCAAAGGUUCUGAUUUUGCCAAUAUAUAAGAAUCUUCUGUAAUGCUUUUAAACACUAAUGAUAUAGAGGUGCUUCACUCCAGAAAAGUAAGUUACAAUUUUUGAAAUGGGUCCUAGGAAUCAAUAUAUUAAAAUAUGUCCCAAAUGAGUAUAACACACAUUCAAUUUUUAGGUCCAUCAGCUGAAUAUAAAGAUUUAAAUUUCACUCUUAUUUUUUUACUCAUUUUACAUUUUACUCUCCAUUUUACUUUAUAAAAUCUUCAUACAACCCACAAUAUUCUUGUUCAAUACUGGUUAUUAUCUGGAGGAAAUGUCCUAUGGAAAAAAAAUAGCAAAAGAAACAAACACAACGUGAUAAUAUUUACUUACAUUUAAAUAUGGGCUGAGAAAAUUGGUAGAGAGAAAAUUAUACCAACUACAUAAAAGUUUCCAGCUUAGAAAGUGUGAAAUUGUGAUUAGGCUAUACUUCAACAUGAUAUUUUUCUAUAGCAUUUUUAUUAACUAUAUACUCUUAACACUAAUUGUUUUGGGGCAGCUUUGAAGCAUAUUAACAUACUCUGCAAGCAUGUAAUAAAUAUAUCACUACCGACAAGCACACACACACACAAAAUAGAUGGGUCUGUGUUGUGAAGGCACUCAUUUUAAAACUAUGUUGUACAUUUCAAGGGAAAGAAAAUCAAGGACUUACUAUGGUAUUAUAGUUACUGUGCAUUGAAUUACAAAUCCAAAAGGCCACUGCACUUUUAAAGUAUAAGAGCUCAAUGCUACACAUCAAAAAUCCACUUUGGUUGACUAUGCAUAACAAAGUGCAAAUUUUAUUGGAGGAUUUCCCUUGCAUGUAGUUUUGGGCCUAGGCUUAAUAAUUCAGCUCAAUUCUCUAUUACUUAUUGGGUAAAAUGCAAUUCUUAGGUGUAUAGAGUAGUUUCCGUUGUGCUGUGCCUAUUUAAAAGCAUGGUUUUAAAAUGUGCUGAAUGUGCAUUGGGUUUAUCUAUUAAAACAUUUUCCUUAUUGUUGGUUUAUAAACUGGCCCCUCUAUACAUAGGGCAGGGGUAAACUGAAGAAAGAGGCAAGCUACUUCAGAUUUAUUGGUGGCAGUUUUAAUAAGCAGAGGAACUUACAUAUGAGGCUUGUCUUGGGUGGCCAAGAGAUGAGUAGAGCUCUGUACCCACCUGCCAAAUCUUAAAAGUGUAUAUUGAGGUCUUAACUGGGUUUAGUUACAUAUACAGUCCACAUAUUCUCAACACAUCAUUAUUGCAAGACUGUCCUUGGGGCAACUUUUUGGAAUAGGGAAGACAAAUAAUGCACAUCCUAAGAAAGAGGAGAGGGUAAAGAGCCUCUCGUUGCCUGGGUCUAGCUCAUAGUUCUUCUCAAUGGCUUCCCCCAAUAUUUUACCCCUUGUCAUUCUCAUAUGCCUCCCUCUUCCACCAUGUGACCUGAGUGGGCAGCAAAGGGUUUCACUAACCUGGAUGUGGCUCCUUUGGUGGCUAUCUGGCUCCAUUGGAGGUAGAUGCCACAGCAACAAUACUGUAUAUGUGAGAAAAAACACAGAUUAAGACAAUGAUUCUCAAAACAGGUGACAAUUUUUUCCAAGAUUGCCAUCAUCCAAAUAAUAGAUCUAACUCUCCUAGACUGGGUGUUGGAUCACCCAUGGCAUCCACUUAUAUCUCUAUUGUGAUUUAAUUAAAAUAACACACUCAUUAGGUAUGAACAAACAACAUUCUCUUUGGAUAAUUGCAUAUAUGCUUCCUUUUAAUAAUGUCCUCGGCCUUCCUAUUUUGGAGGAUAGUUUUUCUUAUUAGAGAUAUUUUAGUGUUCAUCAAGGAUGAGUUUUGUUGGCUAUCAUUUUAAGACUUGAAGGGUGAAUUUAAUAAGGGCCUCUCUGUGUGCUAUUGUCGUCUAGGCCAGUGGAAGAAACAAAUACGGUGGCCAAAUGCUCAUACCAUUAAAAACAGAACCUUCUCACCUGGGCUUGAGGAGAGGUAGACUGACAGUCUUAGGAACUUGACCUGAUUGUACAAAGCAUACAUGUUGGCUGAGGACAGCAGCACUGUCAAGUGUGAGAUGGACGGAGAACAGGAUACACUAGACUAAGACCCCCCACCUUUCCCCCUCUUUCAAUGGUAUGCGUUCAAGCCCAGGUAUAAUGAAUUUCCAUAAAUUCAGCUUGCAGCAGGAUAAUGGGAUUGCAGUUGAGAUUGAGUAGUUCUCCCUCAUCCAGAGGUUCAAAGUAACUCCUCCAUCCUGGCAGGAUUUUCCAUUGCAAAUUCCAGCAGAUAAUUGUUCUCCCAGGUGCUGACGAGGCUCUGUAUUCUCAGCUGCAUAGCACAUUGAUCCAUGAUAAGAGUCAGGGCAAUGGCCGUUUCUAUGAUUUCUAUACCUUUUUGGUAUUGGGUGCCUUGGCAGGAGUCUUCUGGUUGAUCAUUCAAAUGUAUUAAAGCUUAGAACAGUACUUUAGGACAUCCAGACAGGGCAAUUUUUUCUGUUAAUAAUGUAAUCUGCUGGUUUAAUAAUUUAUUUUUUUUCCCUUUCUGUUAACCCAGCUGUUUGUAGGUUAUAGGAAAGAUGGAACCUCCAGUCAAUGUCAUGUGCUUUUGCCCAGUCUUGCAUAUGUGACUUCUGAUUACUGUUUUGUCACUGAGGCUACCUAUACAUGCUACUCAGCUUCUCCAACCCCCUAUGGUUGUAGCCUGCUUUACAUGGUUAUGGGGGGGGGAACACUUUGGUUUAGGCCAGCUGCAAUGUCCACACAAACUGGGGCAUAUUUAGAACUCUCACUUGGAGAGAAAAUUCCUCUUCCAAACUUCCUCACCAGUUUGGAAUUCUGGUGGAGGACCCCAGAUUCCUUUGCCAGUUGCCUUCGAUGAUGUUUAGAACACACAGGAUAGAUACACUGCUACUGCAUUAACAAAGUCUCUCUCUCUCUCUCUCUCUCUCUCUCUAUAUAUAUAUAUAUAUAUAUAUAUAUAUAUAUAUAUAUAUUUUAAAGAUUUUUAUUUAUUUAUUCAUGAGAGACAUAGAGAGAGAGAGGCAGAGACACAGGCAGAGGGAGAAGCCAACUCGAUGCAGGGAGCUGGACAUGGGACUUGAUCCCAGGUCUCCAGGAUCAGGCCCUGGACUGAAGGUGGCGCUAAACCGCUAAGCCAUCAGGGCUGCCCCAAAGUCAUUAUAUCUCAAGGGCAAUCUGGCGUCUUUGGCAAUAUGCCCUCCUACCUGGGCACAGUGGUGGCCACUCUGCUCCCAAUCCGCUGUAUUUACUGAAAGGUCGGUUGCCAGGGGUUUGUACUGAGCUAGGACAUCAGUUCUGUGAUUGCCAGGGGGUGUCAGUAUUUGAGUUGGGACAUGGAAGACAGUGAGAACAGCCUCAGGCUCUUGCAGGUGAGCCCAAAUGUGCCCCCCUCCACCACAUAUCCUGACCCCACAAAGGUGUGAAUUUCCCCCCUUUGGCUUCCCAUCAUCCAUGUCAUAAGGUUAAUCCCUUUAGAACAGCCCAACAGUGAGUAAAAAGGGUUAAUGUUUAGGACUCAUGAGUGAGCAUCAGCCAAACUGCUCUGAGUUUAUUCCACUGUCAGCUGCACUGGCUACUAUGUGAGGGGCUCUCCUCCGAGGAGCACUAUGUACACUACUAGGAGCUGUUACUCUAAGGUGGUAUAUUGGGUUUCUGUCCCCCUGGCUCAGCUGGGACUAUACUAGGGGUACUCUCUCUUGUUGUUGUCUAUGCCACAGUGCCUGGACCCAUCUCUUCCAGAUACAUUAACUCAAAUGCUUAGAAUAUACCCAGAGCUUUAAUUUGCUUCAAUAGUAUUUUGGUUUUCCCAAAGAUAGUUUGAGGUUUUGAUCCACAGUUGCACAGAGUACUUUUCCUUUACCAGAUGGUAUAAAGGAUGAAGAGACUGUGUGAGAUAGGGAAUGAAAAUCCACAAAAAAAAAAAAAAA